rnacentral:tRNA from 1 species
GCCAGCAUGGCUCUGUGGUUGAGCAUUGGCUAUGAACCAGGAGGUCAGGGUUCGACUCCCAGUCAGGGCA